rnacentral:rRNA from 1 species
UACGGGGGGGGCAAGCGUUGUUCGGAAUUACUGGGCGUAAAGGGCUCGUAGGCGGUUUGUCGCGUCUGCCGUGAAAGUCCGGGGCUCAACUCCGGAUCUGCGGUGGGUACGGGCAGACUAGAGUGAUGUAGGGGAGACUGGAAUUCCUGGUGUAGCGGUGAAAUGCGCAGAUAUCAGGAGGAACACCGAUGGCGAAGGCAGGUCUCUGGGCAUUAACUGACGCUGAGGAGCGAAAGCAUGGGGAGCGAACAGG